GCAAAACGAGGAGAGAAGAAGAAGGUUUUGUCGAAAAUUCUUUGAAAAUGAUCAUCAGCGCAUUUUUAAUGGAGCCAAGAAAGAAUUAGAAAUAAAGGGCAGUUUCCCCAAUUCAAUUCUUUUUCGGGUUUACAUCAACUGAAAUGACGAAAACUUGGUAUGAACGUCGAAUUGCGUCUUUCAGCUGUUGAGUUCCUCAUCGUCUCAUCUCUGGUUAAUCUCUAUCUUUCUUUCUCUGUAUUUGUCGCUUUUUAGGGUUUGUCAUGUUUCUGAUUUUUGAUUGAUUACAAUUAUAGCAACUUGGCGCUACUCCAUUUGUGAAAUACACCCGCUUUAUCAAUCUUUGUUGAGCGCUUCUUACCAACUAUGAAUAGUUACAGGUUUUGUUACUCAGCCCAAGAACGUGGGUUUUCAUAAUUUCGUCUGUACAAUCUUGAAAUCUUUGAUAUCAUUAAAAUUGUUCUUAUGUUCAAUGAAAUAGAUACAUGAUAUUCGUCCUCUUUCCGUACAAAGUUUGAAAAGUCUUUGGGAGAUGUAGCUAUAAAGGCACCACAUUAUACUUCGAGAUUUCCUUGAAGCAGUGAAUAAAUUACCUUCUCUGCGCUAAUAUGUCGAUUUCCGCUUUUUUUUCUGUAAUUAAGGGUUACAAUGAGAACAUUGACAUUAUGCAGGAGGUGGUCUUAGUAAAUCUCCUUAGAUAAGGAAUUUGCAGUCAGUUGGUAAAGAGCUUUCUUGUACUACUUAAGCUAUAAUAGCAUCUCCAGGUGCUUGAUCUCGAGAUUGGCACAUCAAUGUUGCUUAUGUCUUCUUAAAAGAUUUUCUUAUUCAGUUGAGGUGAGUUCUACAUGAAUCUAGAUGCUAACUAGCAUAAUUGAUCAAACUGUAUGUUUCCGAAUGCAUGAAUACCCUGGUUCAAGAUAUGUUUUUUGAAAUGUUAAUGUUUGUUGAUGUUAUCGGUAUUAAUUCCUUAGAACAAAACAAUUUAGGUUUAAUGUGUUUAGGAUCCCGUGAUUCUUGUAAUCUUUUUUGUUUUUGUUUUGAUACAAUCAGCUGGGUUAAGGAAAACCCAAAAUUAUUGUAAUUUUUUGUCAACUCCUCUGUGUAAAUAAUGUAAAUAUCAUGGAAAAUUUUACAUCCAAA